GCAUUCAUGGUGUAGCGGUAACAUUGGGUCUUCCCAUGGCCUAGCUCCGGGUUCGACUCCCGGUGGAUGCA